GGAGCAAGAAAGUGGGCACAGAGGGUGAGCCAUGAACUCCACAUUGGUGACAUCUAGAAGAACCACAGCAUCUUUAAGAUGUAACUAAUUAUCAGCACACCUGUAAGCAGUGUUUCCUGGAAGAGCUACCAUGUAUUUCUGCUGUGAUGAAGGAGUCAGACUGACGGAUGAUAUGCAUAUGGAUGUCACCUCCAGUAUAAAUACUGCAGGAAAAGAGUCUCAUCCAAGUGGAUUUUCGAUAAAUGCAACCUGUACCUGGAUUUUUUUCAUCUGCCACAAGCAAGAUUUUGUAGGCAAGGUGCUGAAAUCAGGAGGGCACUCGGUGUGUGCUGGUAGCCAUGGGAGCACGGGCAGUAAGGAGAAAGGCAGCAGAAAGCAGCUGACUGGGAAGAGCUGGAGGAGACUACACUGGCGUGACAUGUACUGGAGCCUCCUGGGGAAGGUGGACCCAAGGAGGAGGCAGGCGUAAGGCAUGCGAUAAAUGGAGAACUCCAAGUUUGGAGGAGCUUGAUCUUAGCGGAAAGGAGGUAGGUCGGUAGCAUGGUGUGGGGAGUGAGGGAUUGUAGCAUGUGUUUGUGAGAAAAGGCAGGAAAGGAGGAGGCUUGCAAUAACAGAUUGGGGUGUGCGGACUUGCAGCAAAGGAGUGAGGACUUGUUACUUGGGAGAAGGAGUACUCUAAGGGACAGGGAUGUGAUGGGAGGAGUGGGGAGCACAGCAUACUGCAGAUCAAAAGUCUUAAGGGUUACUUAAGGGCAGUCUGUGUCCUUACCACCUUGUAAAGCAGGCACAGGCAUGGAAGCACAGACGUGAACAGCGUUGUUCCCCACCCAUCCCUUCUAGUGCUGCUACAGGGAUGUUCUCCUCUCUCCCCUGCUCCACAUUUUUACUUUUUGGAAAUGUGGUAGCUCAAAAUAAGUACCUUAAACUCACGUAAUCCAAAACACUGGGGUAAAUGUUUUUUACCUGACAAAUGUUACCUGACAUAUCCUGUAUAUUGAAUGGUGAACAAAAAAUCAACACACAAAUGUUUACUUUCAACAAUCAUAGUGUUUUAUUGGCUGUAUGUAGGAAACUUCCCUUGCUCUCAUUAAUUCAUUGCAUCUGUUUUUCACUCUGAUGACGAACACACACAGAUAUAGCAGCCUUCCAGUACUUAAAGGGGGCCUACAUGAAAGAUGGGGAGGGACCCUUUAUUAGGGAGUGUACUGAUAGGACAAGGGGUAACGGUUUUAAACUGAAAGAGGGUAUAUUUACAUUAGAUAUAAGGAAGAAAUUCUUCAGUAUGAGGAUAGUGAGGCACUGGAAGAGGUUGCCCAGAGAGGUUGUGGAUGCCCCAUCCCUGGCAGUGUUCAAGGCCAGGUUGGAUGGGGCUUGGAGCAACCUGCUGUAGUGGAAGGUGUCCCUGCCCAUGGCAGGGGACUUGGAACCAGGUGAUCUUUAAUGUCCCUUCCAACCCAAACCAUUGUAUGAUUCUAUGACUACACGAAUAUCUGUGUAAUGUAUUCUGACAAACUUUUCCCAUAUGAAGAAUUGCUACAAUGUGAAUUUAUCACUGGAAUGCAUAUAAAAUACUAUCAGUCAGAUGUUUAUCUCAGUAAUAGCACUGUAUUUUGUUAGCAAUGCUCCAUAACUACACUGCUAUAACUGAAAUUACAACCUGGUUCAGAAACAGGAAUAGAACCAUUAUAUACAUGAAAGGCUGAAAAAAUAUCUCAAUAUAUGUUCUUAAUCCUCUCAUGUGCUCAACUCUAAACACUUAAUUAAUGCUAGCUUUGGUAUUUACUUUCUUUGACUUACAAAAAGGGGGAGAAGAGAAAAGAAUACAACUAUAUUUCUUGAAAGAAACCUGAAUAAAACUGAAGUGCUUCGGGUCAGCUUUGCAGCUUGUGAAAAAUCAAUGUUGCUUCAAUUACUCCAUUGACUUCAAUGUACUGAUGUUGAUUUACAGUAGUGGGGAGCUACACGAUGAUUAAUAAUAAGAAUACCUUGGACUUUGAUAGUGCUUUCUAUCUUGAGAUUCCUAAUUGCUUGUCAAACUCUGUCUCUACCUUAUAGUUUGUGAAGAUGAAGUAUUGUAUUCAGGACCUAAUAAACACUUUUAAUUCAAGACAAUUACUGAUCUAUUCAGAUGAAUGUCUUAUUAAGAAGUCUUAUUUAAUUUUCUUAUUUUUAUGUACAUGAUACAAGCAAGAGAAAUGCCUGGAGGCAGUUGAAACUGUCGUUUGUGAACAGUCCUUUUUAGCAGUGUAAAACCUCUUUGAAACUCAAAUGCAGCCUUCCAUCCUGCUGUCGUGUUGCAGACAAGGUGAGUAACUGUCUUAAAUCUAAAAUCUUGGCAAGAUACUAUACAAUCAACCCUUGAGAUGAUCCAGGUUACUUAUCUACUGCUCACUCUGUGUUCCCUUCAGUUUGCUGCAUAAUCCACAGAUGCGGUUGAGCCGUUUCUUUCCUAAGCAGAAUUUUUUCUUGGCCCCAUCAAGCUUUUCUUAAU